UUGGCUUAGAAGCAGCCAUCCUUUAAAGAAAGCGUAACAGCUCACUGGUCUAGACAAGCCGGCCUGCGCCGAAGAUGUAACGGGGCUAAAGCCACAUACCGAAGCUGAGGACGUGAUUUAUCACGUGGUAGCAGAGCGUUCUGUAGGCCUGCGAAGCGUAAUCGUGAGAUUGCGUGGAGGUAUCAGAAGUGAGAAUGCUGACAUGAGUAGCGAUAAAGAGUGUGAGAAACACUCUCGCCGUAAGCCCAAGGGUUCCUGCGCAAGGCUAAUCCGCGCAGGGUGAGCCGGCCCCUAAGUCGAGGCCGAAAGGCGUAGACGAUGGGAAUCUGGUUAAUAUUCCAGAGCCUCUCGGGAGUUGACGGAUGGUAGAAGUUGUUCGACCUUAUUGGAUUGGUCGGGCUGCCAAGCUGUCCCUGGAAAUAGCCCCGAGAAUAGACCGUACCCCAAACCGACACAGGUGGGCAGGUAGAGCAUACCGAGGCGCUUGAGAGAACCGCGUUGAAGGAACUCGGCAAAAUACCCCCGUAACUUCGGGAGAAGGGGGACCUCCAUUUAGGCAACUAGAUGGGGGUGGCACAGACCAGGGGGUGGCGACUGUUUAUUAAAAACACAGGGCUCUGCGAAGUAGAUAAUACGACGUAUAGGGUCUGACGCCUGCCCGGUGCCGGAAGGUUAAGAGGAGAGGUGCAAGCUUUGAAUCGAAGCCCCGGUAAACGGCGGCCGUAACGAUAACGGUCCUAAGGUAGCGAAGUUCCUUGUCGGGUAAGUUCCGACCCGCACGAAAGGCGUAACGAUCAGGGCGCUGUCUCGGAGAGAGGCUCGGCGAAAUAGAAUUGUCUGUGAAGAUGCGGACUACAUACACCCGGACAGAAAGACCCUAUGAAGCUUUACUGUAGCUUGGUAUUGUGCCCGGGCUCUGAAUGCGCAGGAUAGGUGGGAGACGUUGAUCUAGUGCUCGUGGGUGCUAGGGAGUCAAUGGUGAGAUACCACUCUUUCAGAGCUAGGGUUCUAACGUUCACCCGUUAUCCGGGGAGCGGACAGUAUCAGGUGGGCAGUUUGACUGGGGCGGUCGCCUCCUAAAAGGUAACGGAGGCGCGCAAAGGUUUCCUCAGGCUGGUUGGAAAUCAGCCGACGAGUGCAAAAGCAGAAGGAAGCUUGACUGUGAGACCUACAAGUCGAACAGGGACGAAAGUCGGCUUUAGUGAUCCGACGGUUCUGAGUGGAAGGGCCGUCGCUCAACGGAUAAAAGUUACUCUAGGGAUAACAGGCUGAUCUCCCCCAAGAGUUCACAU
rnacentral:rRNA from 13 species